rnacentral:rRNA from 1 species
GCUACACAUGCAAGUCGAACGAGAAAGUCCGGCUUCGGCCGGAUUAGUAAAGUGGCGCACGGGUGAGUAACGCGUGGGUAACCUACCCUUGAAUCUGGGAUAACUUCGCGAAAGUGUUGCUAAUACCGGAUAUCGUUUCGGGAACUGUGGUUCUCGGAAUGAAAGGUGAUCUCUUCAUGAAAAUUGCCGUUCGUGGAGGGGCCCGCGUACCAUUAGCUUGUUGGUGGGGUAAUGGCCUACCAAGGCGACGAUGGUUAGCUGGUCUGAGAGGAUGAUCAGCCACACUGGAACUGAAACACGGUCCAGACUCCUACGGGAGGCAGCAGUGAGGAAUUUUGCGCAAUGGGGGAAACCCUGACGCAGCAACGCCGCGUGAGUGAAGAAGGCCUUCGGGUCGUAAAGCUCUGUCAAGCGGGAAAAAAGCCUCGCGAUUAAUAGUCGAGAGGUUUGAUGGUACCGCUGGAGGAAGCACCGGCUAACUCCGUGCCAGCAGCCGCGGUAAUACGGAGGGUGCAAGCGUUGUUCGGAAUUAUUGGGCGUAAAGAGCGUGUAGGCGGGUUGGUAAGUCAGAUGUGAAAGUCCUGGGCUCAACCCAGGAAGUGCAUUUGAUACUGCCAUUCUUGAGUAUGGGAGAGGAGAGUGGAAUUCCCAGUGUAGAGGUGAAAUUCGUAGAUAUUGGGAGGAACACCCGUGGCGAAGGCGACUCUCUGGACCAAUACUGACGCUGAGACGCGAAAGCGUGGGGAGCAAACAGGAUUAGAUACCCUGGUAGUCCACGCCGUAAACGAUGAGAACUAGGUGUAGCGGGUAUUGACCCCUGCUGUGCCGAAGUUAACGCAUUAAGUUCUCCGCCUGGGGAGUACGGCCGCAAGGCUAAACUCAAGGAAUUGACGGGGACCCGCACAAGCGGUGGAGCAUGUGGUUUAAUUCGACGCAACGCGAAGAACCUUACCUGGAUUUGACAUCUCUGACAGUCCCGGAAACGGGAUCUUCCCUGCUUGC